CUGGGUGUAGCUCAGUCCGGUAGAGCGCCCGCUUUGGGAGCGGGAUGUCGCAGGUUCGAGUCCUGCCACCUAGACCA
rnacentral:tRNA from 1 species